UACGAAGGGUGCAAGCGUUGUCCGGAUUUACUGGGCGUAAAGCGCACGUAGGCGGAUCGUUAAGUCAGGGGUGAAAUCCUGGAGCUCAACUCCAGAACUGCCUUUGAUACUGAAGAUCUUGAGUCCGGGAGAGGUGAGUGGAACUGCGAGUGUAGAGGUGAAAUUCGUAGAUAUUCGCAAGAACACCAGUGGCGAAGGCGGCUCACUGGCCCGGUACUGACGCUGAGGCACGAAAGCGUGGGGGAGCAAACAGG
rnacentral:rRNA from 1 species